GACGUAGGUGGCGAACGUUAUCCGGAAUUAUUGGGCGUAAAGGGUGCGUAGGCGGCAUAAUAAGUUAUUGGCGGGAAAUCGAGGCUCAACCUCGUGGAAACUGAUAAUACUGUUUUGCUUGAGUACAGGAGAGGUUAACGGAACUCCAUGUGGAGCGGUAAAAUGUGUAGAUAUAUGGAAGAACAUCAAUAACGGCGAAGGCAGUUAACUAUUCUGUUACUGACGUUGAGGCACGAAAGCGUGGGGAGCAAAAAGG
rnacentral:rRNA from 1 species